rnacentral:pre_miRNA from 1 species
UACGUACUUCCUUCGUUCCGAAUUACUUAUCACACGUAUAUAUGUAUCUAGAUGUAUUUUAGUUUUAGAUACAUCUAUUUCAGUGACGAGUAAUUUGGGACGGAGGGAGUACGUG